GCGAGAAUAUUCGACAAUGGACGAAAGUCUGAUCGAGCGACGCCGCGUGUACGAUGAAGUUUUUCGGAAUGUAAAGUACUUUUAUGAGGGAAGAACGUUGACGGUACCUCAUGAAUAAGUGGUUGCUAACUCUGUGCCAGCAGCAGCGGUAAUACAGAGACCACAAGCGUUAUCCGGAAUUAUUGGGCGUAAAGGGUGAGUAGGUGGUAUUGUUAGUCGGGUUUGAAAGAUCGUGGGCUCAACCCAUGAU
rnacentral:rRNA from 1 species